GUUACGUACCGGUCAGACUUCUGUAUAUUUAUUUAUUUAUAUGUUUAACAGGUCUUACUUUUUAUUGCUUAAAAUUACACAAAAUUGACUUUCUAGUUGACAUCUUGAACGACACUUUUUUUUUUCCUUUUACCCACAAAUCCUUGCGAAAGGGCGCCAAGAAAACCCGGAAGAAAACUGGCCAAAUCUCGCGUAACUGCAGGUCACCAAAACACACAGGGAGGCGAUGCAGUGGCUAAUCCUAACAAUCGGGCGUUGUCUUGGCAUUCUGAGGGGGAAGGCUUCAGGAGUGUAGAAUCUGUUGGGCAUCAUCAGUUUGAGUUGGCUGCUGUUUACGUACGACGACCUCCCCACCAUGGAGCCGACGUCGCAUCCGACUGUCGCUGAUUGAUAAGUCGGCCGACUCGCGGCGCUGGGAUGUCGGCGCCCCAUCGUGGUCCAAUCGAUUGCAUUGAAGAGGAGCUACUUCACAUGUCAAACCUUUAAUGAGAGUCAAUGGGUAAAGAUUUGGGCGCCCCAGACUGGAAAUGCGUCACGGUCACUCAGCUGAGUGGUGAGCCCCCUCUAUCGACCAGCUGCUAUUGCGUCAGGGGUGGGGAAACUUUUUGCUUAUUUUACGAGCGAUAAAGUCAUGAGUCGAGGACAUUGAAUGAGUUUGGCAAACAAUGUAAUUGCACAGCAUUAUUCUCAUAACAUUGCAACUUGAAGGCGGUAAAAAGAAGGAAUUGGACAGAUCCUGAGACAAAACAAGGGUGAAUAUACAAGCAGCCUUUCAGAAGUGGAAGCGCCACAGACGCCACCCGCAUCCCCACAGAUUUUUUUUUUUGGGGGGGGGGGGGGGGGGGGGGGACCUAUCCCUGUUAUUAAGGGAAACCCCCGCUUAUUUGUUUUGUUUUACCCAAUCCCUUUCCUAUUCGCUUUUUUUUAUUUCAUUUUUAUUUUUUAACCCGAUCCUCUGCUUCGUCAUGUUUUUUUGUUGUUGUUUAAAUUGUAUUUAUUUAUUUUCACCCUAACCCCCAUGGCAAAGUAUUUAUUUCGCUAUCCACAAACUGGCUCGGUCACUAUCCCCCCCCCCCCUGCCUCCCGCAAAUACCGGGGACCCACUAUACUUUAUCAUCAAAACGCUGAAAUUUCUCAUAAUACAGCUUUUUCCCCGAAAUCUUUCAAUUUUUUCUCGUCGUAUUAUGACUGUUCUCACAACUUUGAUUUUUGCCGUAAUGACCGUUCUGUUCACUUCACAACUAUUCUCAUAACGUUAAGAUUUCUUUUCCUCAUAUUACUUUUUCCUCUUACGACUUGACUCUCAUAACUUUGACUUUUCUUGUAGUAUGACUUUAUUCUCUUUACUUUCCUACUUUUUAUUCUCAUACAACUUUUUUCACGCAUUACAUUUUAUUACUCGUGACUACGACUGAUCUUGCAAUUAUCUGCUUUGUUCAAAAAUUCUUUGUUCCUGUGCCUUUUACAACUUUAUUCUCGUAAUGUCACAACUUUUUUUUUCCACAUAUAAAAUCAUCUCCAACUCUU